GGAAUAUUGCACAAUGGGGGGAACCCUGAUGCAGCAAUGCCGCGUGGGUGAAGAAGCACUCCGGUGCGUAAAGCCCUGUCAGCAGGGAAGAAAAUGACAGUACCUGGACAAGAAGCCCCGGCUAACUACGUGCCAGCAGCCGCGGUAGUACGUAGGGGGCAAGCGUUAUCCGGAUUUACUGGGUGUAAAGGGAGCGCAGGCGGCGUGGCAAGUCAGAUGUGAAAACCCGGGGCCCAACCCCGGGAGUGCAUUUGAAACUGCCAUGCUGGAGUGCCGGAGAGGUAAGCGGAAUUCCUAGUGUAGCGGUGAAAUGCGUAGAUAUUAGGAGGAACACCAGUGGCGGAGGCGGCUUACUGGACGGUAACUGACGCUGAGGCUCGAAAGCGUGGGGAGCAAACA
rnacentral:rRNA from 1 species